GAUUAUGGCUCAGGAUGAACGCUAGCUACAGGCUUAACACAUGCAAGUCGAGGGGCAGCAUGAUCGAAGCUUGCUUUGAUUGAUGGCGACCGGCGCACGGGUGAGUAACGCGUAUCCAACCUUCCCUAUAGUAGAGGAUAGCCCGGCGAAAGUCGGAUUAAUACUCUAUGUUUUCCAAUGCAGACAUCUAAGUUGGAACAAAGGUUUACCGCUAUAGGAUGGGGAUGCGUCUGAUUAGGUAGUAGGCGGGGUAACGGCCCACCUAGCCGACGAUCAGUAGGGGUUCUGAGAGGAAGGUCCCCCACAUUGGAACUGAGACACGGUCCAAACUCCUACGGGAGGCAGCAGUGAGGAAUAUUGGUCAAUGGGCGAGAGCCUGAACCAGCCCAAGUAGCGUGCAGGAUGACGGCCCUAUGGGUUGUAAACUGCUUUUAUACGGGGAUAAAGUGAGGGACGUGUCCCUUUUUGUAGGUACCGUAUGAAUAAGGACCGGCUAAUUCCGUGCCAGCCGCGGC
rnacentral:rRNA from 1 species